rnacentral:rRNA from 1 species
CCUACGGGAGGCAGCAGUGAGGAAUAUUGGACAAUGGGUGGAAGCCUGAUCCAGCCAUCCCGCGUGCAGGAAGACGGCCUUAUGGGUUGUAAAYUGCUUUUAUACAGGAAUAAACCRUCUUUCGUGAAGGGUGUUGAAGGUMCUGUAUGAAUAAGCWCCGGCUAAYUCCGUGCCAGCAGCCGCGGUAAUASGGAGGGUSCAAGCCUUWUCCGGAUUUAUKGGGUUUAAAGGGUCSGCRGGCGGAUUAGUAAGUCAGGGGUGAAAUCCGGCAGCUCAACUGUCGAACUCCCUUUGAAACUGUUAGUCUUGAGUGAGAAUGAAGCAGAUGGAAUGUGUGGUGUAGCGGUGAAAUGCAUAGAUAUCACAGGGAACACCGAUAGCGAAGGCAGGUUGCUAAUUCUCAACUGACGCUGAGGGACGAAAGCGUGGGGAGCAAACAGGAUUAGAUACCCUGGUAGUCCACGCCGUAAACGAUGGAUACUGUCUGUUGGGUUUUCGGAUUCAGUGGAUAAGCGAAAGUGAUAAGUUCCC